UACAGUAAGCUAUAAGCUAAGCAGCACCUAAUCGAGUCUCCUUCUCUCUAUUCUCCAGAGCAACUCUGUGACCUAUGCCUGCCUGCCUGCUUGCCUGGAAAACGAACCCUGCAUGGAUCUUCUCUCUCUUUCCUGAACCCUGCGAAGGAGGUCACUAUAUAAUUAACUGACUAAAAUGCAUGGGCCUUUUUGCAAAUGAAACUCUUUUGUUGCAUCUUGUGGUUGACUUCUACUAUUCAUUGCUCUGGGAAAUUUGUUUUUGUGUGUGUAUGUGUGUCUUAUUUUAUUACUAUUGCUCAGUCUACAUGUUUAUUUAGAUUAAUGGUUGUGGAGAUUUGUUUUUGGGAGAAAAUGAGGAGAGAUUGCUUUAGUUUUGCUUUGGAUUCUAGAUUGUGAACAGCUUGUUGACAUGAAUUCCUUUGAUAAUCAUUUCAUGUACUUACACUCUCGUGGGACAUUAUUUGCUUCCUCCAGCUUCUGCAGUCUGUUUCCUGAAUGAUCAAAUUAUGUCUAACUCUCCUGCUUUCAAAGUGAUUUCUGCUUCUUGCACUUUGCUACUAUCUAUUGUCUGUCUAUCUAUCCAUCCAUCUAUCUCAAUUAAGAAUACAUAACUUAAUGCUACUCCAGCCUUUUUAUUUUUGAGUUCUGGGUAUUCACAAUAUGAGAAGCACCUGGAAAAAAAAAUCAAGCAACACAGAUGCAUGUCAUCUUAAAUUCAGCCUCUGGCCAUCAGAAAAGUGUAUGAAAAUGUCCAGUAUCAACACCAUAAUUAAAAUGAAAAAGGUUACCCCACAAAAUUACAUUAUUUCUUUUCUAUUAUUUAAUGACCCCAUCAGAUGGCCAGCAGCAACCAGCAGUAGCACUGCUCUUAAGGGCAAGGCAUGGAGGUGGUUGUUUCGCCUCAUUUCACUACGAUUCACCCUGCACGAAAGCCAGGUGUGUGUGUGUUGUCAGAUCCAUGGGUGGAACGCUACACACACUAUGCACAGCCCUCACUUCUCCCCAUUUUAUUGCCCUACCAGCUGGUGAAGCGGAGUGAGGUGAGGGCCUCCAUGCCUCACCCUUAAGAGCAGCAGUGCCGUCACCUGCUGAUGUGGUCCUUAAUCUGUAUGGAGGAUGAUAGAGGUGGUGAUGAGCAGGAAAUCAAACACACACACACACACAUACACAGGAAUAAAGGAAGAACAGGGAGAGUCCUGGGCUUUACAUGGAUACAUGAAACUGCAUAAUAACAAACCUUAUUAUUUUUAAUGUAACAAAAUAUGGAGAUACUGAGAAGAGGGUUGUUAGAUCCCAGCCAGCCAUGGCACCAGGGCCUGCAGUGUUUCAGGACUUGCACUUUGACACAGAUAAUGCUGAGGAUUGUACUGACAUUUCACCCUCCAUGGAGGGGCCUUUGCAGCUGCAGGUGCCCGAAAAUAUUGGCUCUGGAGACUUGCUAAUUGGGGAAGAUUCUUCUAUUCCUCCCUCGCAGAUAGAGCCAGAUGUUGCAGAGAUGCCUGGGAACGGGGUUUUUAAUCAUAGAGAUUUUGUAACCAGAGACAGAAGUGCAAAACAAGGGGUCCAUCGGAACCAGAGACUGGCAAAUAGAUGGGAUAAUGGUUAGUGUUCCCAUGGGAAAGUUUUGGGAGUUUGUACCCGCUAAAUUGUGAACAGUUCAGAAUCUGUUAAAAGUGUUUUGCUGAGUAGAUUUUCUUGUGGUGUCAACGUAGCUCUUCCUUGAGAGAGGUUCUCCGUCUCCAGCUCCAGCUUGUUUCCAAGCCAAGUUUAUCCAGUUCCAGUCGGGCCGUGCCGUGCCGCGACUCUCAAGUAGACCUUGACUUUACUCCAGUUGUUUCCUUGUUCCUGAUUCAAGUUUGCUUCAGCUUUGACAACCUUGCUGCCUUGAUUGCUACAAAGUAUUUCCAGUCGAUUGAACUCUGUUUCUGCCAGCCUUGUUUCUCUGUUUCAACUCAUGGACCCUUUGGUUUCUUUGGAGAGCUAUCGAGUUCUCAUUGUGGAUUAUAAUAUUGGACCUUUUCCUUUACCCAUUUGGAACUACCAUUGACUUUCUAAAAAGAAUUAUUCCUUACUCAGACUCUAUACCUAAUUCCCUUUGGAUAUAUAAUUGUUUUAAUAAAGAUAUAUUGUGUUA